rnacentral:rRNA from 1 species
AACGAACGCUGGCGGCGCGUCUUAAACAUGCAAGUCGAACGGCAGGAAGGGGCUUGCCCCUUCUGAGAGUGGCGGACUGGUGAGUAACACGUGGGUGACAUACCUUUUAGUUGGGGAUAGCUAUUAGAAAUAGUAGGUAAUACCGAAUGUGACCGUACCUGUUAGAGGGGUACGAGGAAAGGAGCUAAGGCUUCGCUAAAAGAAUGGCUCGCGGCCCAUUAUGCUCGUUGGUGAGGUAACGGCCCACCAAGGCGAUGAUGGGUAUCCGGCCUGAGAGGGUGAACGGACACAUUGGGACUGAGAUACGGCCCAGACUUCUACGGGAGGCAGCAGUUAAGAAUAUUCCGCAAUGGACGAAGGUCUGACGGAGCGACGCCGCGUGGAUGAAGAAUGCCGAAAGGUUGUAAAAUCCUUUUAAGCCUGAUGAAUAAGCACAGUAGGGAAUGAUUGUGCGGUGACCGUAGGGCUUGAAUAAGCACCGGCUAAUUACGUG